rnacentral:rRNA from 1 species
GGUGAACGCUGGCGGCGUGCCUAAGACAUGCAAGUCGAGCGGGGCAGGUUUAUACCUGUUCAGCGGCGGACGGGUGAGUAACGCGUGGGUGACCUACCCGGAAGAGGCGGACAACCUGGGGAAACCCAGGCUAAUCCGCCAUGUGGUCCUGUCCUGUGGGGCAGGACUAAAGGGUGGAUAGCCCGCUUCCGGAUGGGCCCGCGUCCCAUCAGCUAGUUGGUGGGGUAAAGGCCCACCAAGGCGACGACGGGUAGCCGGUCUGAGAGGAUGGCCGGCCACAGGGGCACUGGGACCAGGGCCCCCCCCCUCCGGGGGGCAGCAGUUAGGAAUUGUCCGCAAUGGACGGAAGUCUGAGGGGGGGACGCCGGUUGGGGGGGGAAGCCCUUGGGGGUGUAAACUCCGAAACGGGGGAGGAAAGCCCUGUGUAGGGGGAGGACGGUACCCAGGUAAUAGCGCGGGCCAACCCCGU